rnacentral:rRNA from 1 species
CUUAGAGAUAAGGCGUUCCCUUCGGGGACGCAAUGACAGGUGGUGCAUGGUCGUCGUCAGCUCGUGUCGUGAGAUGUUGGGUUAAGUCCCGCAACGAGCGCAACCCUUGUUACUAGUUGCCAGCAUUAAGUUGGGCACUCUAGUGAGACUGCCGGUGACAAACCGGAGGAAGGUGGGGACGACGUCAGAUCAUCAUGCCCCUUAUGACCUGGGCUACACACGUGCUACAAUGGACGGUACAACGAGUCGCAA